AACGCUGGCGGCGUGCUUAACACAUGCAAGUCGAGCGAGAAAGCACCCUUCGGGGUGUGAGUAAAGCGGCGAACGGGUGAGUAACACGUGGGCAAUCUGCCUGGGAGCGGGGGAUAACCUGGGGAAACUCGGGCUAAUACCGCAUACGUCUUCGAGGCCUCGGCCUCGAAGGGAAAGCUGGCCACUACAUGUAAGCUGGCACUCCCAGAGGAGCCCGCGGUCGAUUAGCUUGAUGGUGAGGUAACGGCUCACCAUGGCGACGAUCGAUAGCCGGCCUGAGAGGGUGAUCGGCCACACUGGGACUGAGACACGGCCCAGACUCCUACGGGAGGCAGCAGUGGGGAGUAUUGGACAAUGGGGCAACCCUGAUCCAGCAACGCCGCGUGGAGGAUGAAGGCCUUCGGGUCGUAAACUCCUGUCAGGUGGGACGAAAAGGUGUCGCUCAAUAGGCGGCGCUCAUGACGGUACCACCAGAGGAAGCCCCGGCUAACUCCGUG
rnacentral:rRNA from 1 species